UAGGGAAUCUUCCACAAUGGGCGAAAGCCUGAUGGAGCAACGCCGCGUGUGUGAUGAAGGGUUUCGGCUCGUAAAACACUGUUGUAAGAGAAGAAUGACAUUGAGAGUAACUGUUCAAUGUGUGAGGGUAUCUUACCAGAAAGGAACGGCUAAAUACGNGCCAG
rnacentral:rRNA from 1 species